GCUGGGUGUGUUGGCACAUGCCUGUAAUCCCAGCUACUCAGGAGGCUGAGGCAGAAGAAUCACUUGAACCCAGGAAGCUGAGGUUGCAGUGAGCCAAGAUUGCGCCAUUGCACUCCAGCCUGGGCAACAGAGUGAGACUCUGUCUAAA
rnacentral:SRP_RNA from 1 species